rnacentral:rRNA from 1 species
UAGGGAAUAUUGGACAAUGGGGGCAACCCUGAUCCAGCCAUGCCGCGUGAGUGAAGAAGGCCCUCGGGUUGUAAAGCUCUUUUGUCCGGAAAGAAAAGCUUCGGGUUAAUACCCCGGGGUUCUGACGGUACCGGAAGAAUAAGCACCGGCUAACUUCGUGCCAGCAGCCGCGGUAAUACGAAGGGUGCAAGCGUUAAUCGGAAUUACUGGGCGUAAAGCGUGCGCAGGCGGCUUUGUAAGACAGAUGUGAAAUCCCCGGGCUCAACCUGGGAACUGCAUUUGUGACUGCAAGGCUAGAGUGCGUCAGAGGGAGGUGGAAUUCCGCGUGUAGCAGUGAAAUGCGUAGAGAUGCGGAGGAACACCGAUGGCGAAGGCAGCCUCCUGGGAUGACACUGACGCUCAUGCACGAAAGCGUGGGGAGCAAACA